rfam:Picea glauca, whole genome shotgun sequence.
AUGUACAUUCCUACAACAUAGAGUUAAUGCAAUGUAUCCCAUUAGAACUCCACAGUUAAGUGCACUCAGGCUAGAGUAGUACUAGGAUGGGUGGUUGCUCGGGAAGUCCUAGUGUUUUACAUG